rnacentral:sRNA from 1 species
AAAUUUAGGCAAUCUAUGUCCAACAAUGUCUUUCAU